UACAGAGGUCUCAAGCGUUGUUCGGAUUCAUUGGGCUUAAAGGGUGCGUAGGCGGCGCGGUAAGUCGGAUGUGAAAUCCCGGGGCUUAACUUCGGAACUGCAUUCGAUACUGCGAUACUCGAGGACUCGAGAGGAGAUUGGAAUUCACGGUGUAGCAGUGAAAUGCGUAGAUAUCGUGAGGAAGACCAGUGGCGAAGGCGGAUCUCUGGAGAGUUCCUGACGCUGAGGCACGAAGGCCAGGGGAGCAAACGGG
rnacentral:rRNA from 1 species